CCUACGGGUGGCAGCAGUGGGGAAUUUUGGACAAUGGGCGCAAGCCUGAUCCAGCUAUUCCGCGUGUGGGAUGAAGGCCCUCGGGUUGUAAACCACUUUUGUAGAGAACGAAAAGACACCUUUUAAUAAAGGGUGUUGCUGACGGUACUCUAAGAAUAAGCACCGGCUAACUACGUGCCAGCAGCCGCGGUAAUACGUAGGGUGCGAGCGUUAAUCGGAAUUACUGGGCGUAAAGGGUGCGCAGGCGGUUGAGUAAGACAGAUGUGAAAUCCCCGAGCUUAACUCGGGAAUGGCAUAUGUGACUGCUCGACUAGAGUGUGUCAGAGGGAGGUGGAAUUCCACGUGUAGCAGUGAAAUGCGUAGAUAUGUGGAAGAACACCGAUGGCGAAGGCAGCUCACUGGACUGCAACUGACACUGAGGCUCGAAAGUGUGGGUAUCAAACAGGAUUAGAUACCCGUGUAGUC
rnacentral:rRNA from 1 species